GGGGUCCCUUUUUAUAGACGGAGUGCGUAACUAAUUGACAGCGACGUCUGUAACCGCCUGAUAGUGGGCUGUUCAGAGCCUUCUGAAGUUUGUUACGGAGAGUAGUGGCAUCAGGGGUCGUUCAGAGCCAUGUGAAGUUUGCUACAGAGAGUAGAGUGAUGUCCAUUGUCGCGACUUGUCAGAGAGUAGUGGAGCCACUCGGAAUCCACUGCAG
rnacentral:lncRNA from 1 species